rnacentral:lncRNA from 1 species
CAAAGAUCAGCAUCUAAUCAAAUUGCUAAAUUAUUAGUGCCCAUGCUUUCCAAUUUAAAAUAAAGAGCAAGGUUAGCAUUCAUCUCUCAACUAGUCAUUCUAGUACACCCUUCUGGAGUGUUAAAACUAUUGAGCAUCAUUCAGUAUCUUUUUCACCUUGCCAGUUUCUUUUUAAGCCCCCAGCAGGUUUGACCAUAACUAUAGCAUGGAGUAUUACCAAGUUUUUUUUCUUUAGAUAGACUUUAAAUUAAUCCUCCAGCAAUUUUGUCUUUUUAAUUGUGAUUUUCAUUCCUGGUCAAUAUAUUUAUUUGUUUGUUGGUGCAAUAUUUUCUGGUUGUUUGAAGAGUUCAUUUUCAAUGAUACCUACAAGAACAGUGAUGUUUUAUGCAAUUAUUCUCAAGAUUUUUAACCAAUGAAAGAUUUCAAGGAUUAGAUGUUUGGCAGUUCCACAAUAUUAUGUCUCAUAUUUUAAAUAUGCCUCUAAAUACAUCCUACUACUUUUAGACGGCAGCUACCUGGUACCAGUUCAGUAGUAAAGAGAAUGGUCUAUAAUCUUUUGCACCAUCAAUUUCAUUGGUAAGACAUCUCUCCGACCUUUACUGAUUUCUGGAUAUACUAAAAAUUUUAAAUUAUCUUUUCUAUUUUACCCAAUAUCCAGCUUCUGAUCCAAACUUCCUAUAUCAAAUCACCUAAUGCAUUUCCUGUUGGAAAUAUAAUUUUUAAAUUAUUACACUUUAAAUGUAUAAAUGAAAAUGAAUGGUAACAUCACACACACAGUACAGAUAUUUUGGUACUUAUUUGCUGUUGCCAGGAAGUAGAACUAAAAUCAAGCACUUAAAAACAAAAUAUAUAGUGAGAGUAAUUGUUAGAAAUUCUUAAACUCUAUUUUGGAAUCAAUGACUUUUUGAUUCCAAAGAAAUCCUUUUGAUUCCAAAAAAAUUUUGAUUUACAUUAGGAUGUAGUCUAAAGUUUAAAAAAAAAACGCUGACUUCUGCAGUAACAAAAUAAUUUCUCAAAAGACUAGCUGUGUGGGUCUCUGAGGACACUUGAAGUAAUCACUUUUCAGCUUUUCCACUCUGGCAGCCAGUGCCAUGAGCAACUUUAGCACACUCUGUUCUUUUCCUAGUAUCAUGUCCAGAUCAAUUUCUUGGGACUGCAAUGUUGACACCACUUUAUUCCCUAAGCACAAAAGUACCAAAGUUUCCAAUUAACAAUUAUACAAAAAAUGUUAUGCUUUCUGGGCUUACAUAGAGCAACAAAAUAUUCACGAACAAAGAAGCCAGAUUUUCUUAUUUUCAUUGAGUUGGCAUGUACCAAACACAUUUUUUAUUUUGAAAUAGUAAUAGACUCAUGGAAAGUUGGAAAAACAGAACAGUGUACCACGCAGCCUUUACCCAGCCUUCCCUGAUGAUGCAUCUCAUAAAGCUGUAGUAUAAAGUCAUAGCCAGCAAAUUGACAUUGGCAUGUUUCUGUUUUAAAACCUGCAUUCAUUGUGUGUGUGUGUAUGUGUAGUUCUGUGCACUUUUUUCCAUGUAUAAAGUUGUAUAAUUACCACCACAAUCAAAAUACAAAUUUGUUCUAUCAUCAGGAAAGAACUCCCUUGGGAUAGCUCUUUGUAGUGUGUGCCCCUCCCCCACCACGCCUGUCCCUAUGCCCUGGCAGCCACUAAUCUGUUCUCUCUCUCUGUAGUUUUAUCAUUUCAAGGGUAUUGUAUGAAUGGAAUCAUACAGCAUCUAACAUUGUGAAGUUAACUUUUCUCCACUAAACAUAAUGUCCUUGGGGUCCAUUCAGUUUGUUGCAUGUAUCAUUAGUUUACUACUUUUUAUUGCCGAGUAGCAUUCCAUCGUAUGGUUGUACCACUGUUUGUUCAACCAUCCACCCACUUAAAGACAUUUGAGUAGUUUCCAGUAUUUUACUAUGUAAACUGCUCUGAACUUUCAUAUACAGGUUUUUUGUGAACAUAAGUUGUCAUUUCUCUGUGAAAAAUAUCCUAGAAGAGUACAAUUGCUGGGUCACAUGGUACAUGCAUACUUAGUUUUGUAAAAUCUGGAAGACUAUUUUCCAAAGUGGCUGUACCAUUUUACAUUCCCAACAGCAAUGUAUGAGAAAUCCAGUUUCGCUACAUCCUCAACAAUAUUUCUUAUUAUUUUUUAUAUUAGAAGUUCUAAUAGGUAUGUAGCGAUGUCUCAUUGUGGCUUUAAUUUACAUUUCCCUGAUGCACCAGAGUGGAGGAAAUCAGAGCACCACCCAGCCCACCUCAUACCACCUUGGUCCACCUUAAUGCCAGGCAAGGGCAGAGGCUCUGCUCCCCACUGAGCCCUGACGCCAAGGUGGGUGGGUGUGCAAAGUAAAGAAUAGCCUGCUCGCACCUCCUCAUUCUACUUCACUGAUACCAGCUUGGGGUGGAGGUUCAGCUUUAAGCUGGAUCCCACUAACACUAGUCUUGCAGGAAUGUGAGACCAUUGCUGCCUGCUCCUCUGAGUGGGAGGUAGAAUUGUCUCCCCACUCAUCUCUGCCAAAACCAUGGAGUGUAUGCAGUGGGUGAAGUGGACAGGGUAUUGUAUUGUAUUGGUGUUUUUCUAGAGUACAGUGAAUAUUGUCAAAAAGCUUUUAUGUUCUGUUACAUUAUCUUUUCCUGGUCCUUUGACGAGGGCAAAUAGGCUUUUCUUGGAAUUAUUUUUGUCUGUGCCUAUUGAUGGUCCAGGUUGCAGGCUUCCCCAGUGCCUGUCUGGGAUAUGUGGAAAGGAAAAAAGCAAAAAACAAAACAGAGAGCUCAAAUCUGUGUCGUGCCUCACAUCCUGGGGUAACUGGUCACUCUUCCAUUUUUAUCCCAGCUUUCAGUCUUCCAAUUUUCUUUACUGUGUUAUGUCCAGGGUUUUUAAGGAGGACCUGGAAAGAAUUUGCUGGUUCAUCUUGGCCAGAACAAGAAGUUCUCUCCAAAUUAUUUCUUUUUUGUCAUGGCUUUAUUGAGAUGUAAUUCAUAUACCACAAAAUUCUUCAUUUUAAAGUGUAAAAUUCAAUGAUUUUUAGUUUAUUAACAGACUUGUACAACCAUCACCACUAUCUAAUUUCAGAAAAUUUUCGUCAACCCAAAAAAGAAAUCCUAUGCUAAUAGCAGUUUCUCACCUAUCUGUCCUCCACCCUAAGCCCCUGGGAACUACUAAUCUACGUUCUGUCUUUAUGGAUUUGGCUAUUCUGGAAAUUUCAUAUAAAUGGAAUCAUAUAAUAUACAGCUUUUUAUAACUGGCUUCUUUUACUUACCAUAAUGUUUUCAAGGUUCAUUCACAUGGUAACAUGUAUCAGUACUUCACUUUUUUUUAUUGCUAAAUAAUAUUCCAUUGUAAGGAUAUACCACAUUUUUUUCCAUUCAUUAGGUGAUAGGCUUUUGGGUUGUUUCCAUUUUGGAACCAUUAUGAAUAAUGCUGCUAAGAACAUUCAGAUACAAGUUUCUGUGAGAAUGUAAGUUUCAUAUCUCUUGAGUAGAUAUCUAGGAGUGGAAUUUCUGGGUCAUUUGCUAAGUCUAUGGUUAACAUUUUGAGGAGCUGCCAAAUAUUUGUCCAAAGUGGUUUCUCCAUUUUACAAUUCCAUUAGCAAUGUACAAGGGUUUCAAUGUGUUCACAUCCUUGGCAACAUUUGUUAUUGUCAGACUUUUUGAUUUUAGCCAUCCUACUGGGUGUGAAGUGGUAUCUCAUUGUGGUUUCGAUGUGCAUGUCCCUAAUGACAAUGAUGUUGAACAUUGUUUCACGAGCUUAUUGGCUAUUUGUGUGUCUUUAUUGGAGAGCUGUCUAUUCAGGUCCUUUCCCAAUUUUUAAUCAUAUUGUCUUUUAUUGUUGACUUGCAAAAAUUCCUUACAUAUAGGGAAUACAAAUUCAUUAUCAGAUAUGUGAUUUGCAAAUAUUUUCUCUUCUUCUGUAUGUUAUCUUUUUGUUUUCUUGAUGGUGUCCUUUGAACUUUUUGACUUUUUGAUGAAGUCCAAUUUAUCUAUUUUUUUCUUUUGUGCUUUUAGUGUCAUAUCUAAAAAUCCACUGACUAAUUAAUGCAAGGUCAUAAAGAUUUACUUCUACAUUUUCUUAUAAGCAUGUUGUUGUUUCAGGUCUUACAUUUAGGAUUAUGAUCCAUGUUUAGUUAAUUUUGUAUAUGUUGUGAGAUAGGGGGUCUGACUACAUUAUUUUGUAUGUGAAUACACAAUUUCUCCAACAUCACUGAUAAAAAUUAAUAGAUCGUAUACACACACACACACACACACACAUAUAUAUACAUACACACACGUAUAUAUAAUGGUUCAUUCCUGGGCUCUCAAUUCUAUUCCACUGAUCUCUAUAUCUAUCUUUAUACUAGUACCACACUCUCAAUAACUGUCUCAUUAUAAUAAGUUUCUGGGCCCCUUACAUUUCCAUAUGAAUUUUGGUAUCAGCUUAUCAAUUUCUGCAAAAGAAGAAUGCAGCUGUGUUUUGGUAGGGAUUGUAUUAAAUCUGUAGAUCAACUUGAGACUACUGCCAUCUUAACAAUAUUAUAUUUUCUGAUCCAUAAACAUGUGAUGUCUUUCCAUUUAUUUAGAUCUUCUUUAAUUUCUUUCAAUAAUGUUUUAUAUUUUCUGGUGUACAAGUCUUACACUACUUUUGUUAAAAUCAGUUCUAUGUAUUUUAUUCCUUUUGAUGCUAUGGCACAUGGGAUUUUCUUAUUUUCAGACUUCUCAUUACUAGUGUAUAGAAAUACAAUUUAUUUUUGUAUAUUGAUCUUCUCUCUGAAGUCUUGCUGAAUUCAUUUGUUAGUGCUAAUAUUUUUGUGUGUAGGGUUCCUUAGGAUUUUAUACAUAUAAGAUCAUAGCAUCUGCAAAUAGACAUAGUUAUACUUUCUCCUUUCUAAUAAGGAUGUAUUUUAUUCUUUUUCUUUACUAAUUGACAUGGAUAGAACUUCCAGUACAAUGAUGAAUAGAAGUGGCAAGAGUGGACAUCCUUGUCUUAUUCCUAAUCUUAGAGAAAAAGCAUUCAGUCUUUCACCAUUAAGUAUGAUGUUAAAUGUAGGUUUUUCAUAGGUCUCCUUUAUUGGUUUGAAAAGACUUCCAUUUUAUUCCUGUUAGUUGAGUGGUUUUUUUGUCAUGAAAGGGAAUUGGAUUUUGCCAGAUUCUUUUUCCGCAUCUAUUGAGACAAUUGCGUGAUUUUUGUAUUUUAUUCUAUUGCUAUGAUGUAUUACAUUGAUUGAUUUCAUAUGUUAAACCAACUUUGAAUUCCAGUAAUAAGUCCUACUUGGUCAUGGUGUACAAUCCUUUUUAUAUGUUCUGGCUUCAGUUUGCUAGUAUUUUAUCAUUGAGGAUUUUUGCAUCUAUAUUCAUAGUGGAUAUUGCUCGGUAGUUUUUUUGUGAUGUCUUUGUAUUGUUGUGGUAUGAGGGCAAUGUUGGUAAUAUUGGCCUCGUAGAAUGAGAUGUGAAGUGUUUCCCCACCCCCUUCUAUUUUUUGAAGAGUUUGUGAAGGAUUGGUGUUAAUAUCUCUUUAAGUGUUUGGUAGAAUUCAAUAGCAAAAUCAUCUGUGCAAAAACUUUUAGGAGUGAAAAAAUAUUGUCUUUUUAAAUAUAAAUCUUCAAGUAAAAUUUUCAUUCCAGGAAGGUGUGUUGAGUUUAUAAUAUGAAACGUCACUUCCAUUUUCAUUUCAGAAGCAUGAAUGUCCUUCAUUAUUGUUUUGUGAAAUCAUAUACCUUCUUACAAAAGGAGCAUAACUUUGAGGUGAAUUUUCGUUCUGGCACCAAAGACCGAUGUUCUGUUUGUAGUAUAGGAUUUCUAAUAGCUUCUUAUCAGUACUUUAUCAGUCAAGAUCCAGUCAGGAAAACAGAAACAACAGUAAGAAUUUAAACACAUAACAAUAGGAAAUUGAUAACAAAGUUACUGGAAUCCGUGGAAGAACAAACUGGUGAUGAAGUCUAGAAGAGUAAGAAGGAAGAAGAGAUAAUUCCUGGUGAUUAGGAGCUGCUAAUGCUCCUGGCCUGGAGGACGCACUUGAUGCUGCAUUGUUGGAAGCUCUGUCAGUGCUGAUUCUGGAAUGCUAAGUAAGGACCAUUUCAUAUAAAAAGUGUUGCUUCCUUUCAGACUCUACAGUCUGAAAUCAACUCACCUCCACUGCCAUUACAGCAAUUACCACAGGUAGGAGCUGCAAGGCAGAAGCGUCUCUCUUCCCUUACCACUUCUGAUCUCCUGCCUGUACCGAAGGAGCCUGGGAUAUAUAAUUUGUAGUCUCCCAGCCCUGGCCAUACACAGUAGAGUAGAUGAAGGCAAGUGAGAAAAUCCAAAAUGCUUGUGCAAUACUUAUUCUGAAAUUAAACCUUUGAUUUAAAAUGACUUAAACAAUAAGAAAAAUGAUAGUAGAUGGUUUCUGUUGAGUGACUUUCUGAUUACUCCAAUAAUUAUCCUCAAUAUGUAGCAGGGUCAUUUAUUUAUAGUGCUCAGUAAAAUCAACAAAAAGGAUUUAGGAGCUUAAGUUGGCAAAGGGCACUACAUAGAAAUUUCAAAUGGCUAGAGAAGAGGACAAAGAGAUUUGAAAUUUUUUUCCAAAUUUUAUUCAGGACAUUAACUUGUUCGUGUGAAAGAAGAAAGCAAGGAAUAAGUCUUUCAUCAUGACAGAACUCAAUCCAUUCCAAAAAAAAAGAAGAAGAAGAAGAUUGAGUAAUAAACCAUUCAGGAUUAUUUUCUAAAUGACAUUUCACUUCUGCACCCUAAGGUCAUCCUAAAUUAAUGUAUGAAGCCUAAAAAUAUAUUCAUUCACUUAAUACUUCUUUUCUAACUCUGUAAUUUACUCUAAAAUGUUCAUGGCUUACUAAACAAGGCUUCCAUAAUUAUUUAAAUCCCAAGCCCAUUUCAAGAGAGAAAAAAAUAUAAUAGGGGCAAAAUCUAAUUGAAAUCUUGGCAUUUAAAAUAUUUUUUUAACAGUUCUUCAACUGUCUUAAAUUUUAAAAAGAGCAAAGAGAAAUUUUCGGAAUAAAAAGAAGGACGGCUUUCAAGAGAUUGUAAUGAAGUGGUUGGAUUUUCUGGUUUCCAUCUGAGAUUGGGGUCAGAGCCUUUUAAGUCUCAUAAAGUACAAGGAAAAGGCAGAUCUGGUUCUAAAUCACACCGUUGUCAUCAUCCCCAAAUUCAGACAGUACGUGUCAUGCAGUGGGGGCACAGACACACAAUUUUAGCAACCAGAGGCAUAAAAUAAAGUGCGUGUCCUGGGAAACCAUAUAGGCAGGGAAAACAGUGAGGCAUACACCAUCGCAUUGGCCUGCAUCUCUCACGGAGGCAUGCUGAGCGGGGAGCAGGACAUGACAUGGAAUGGGCUCUAGGAGAAGAAUCUCACUGAUUCUGCCAUUCUACAUAUUGAUAGAGACAGAGGGGUAGGAAAUGGCCAUUUGAUUUUGACAGUGUACCAAAGGGAGCUUAUUUUAACAGUGUCAUGGGACAUUAAAAACAUAGCCUUGUCGGAAAGGGGGAGCCCCAGAGCUCACGCACUGCCAUCAGCCUUUUCUUUUAUCAAGCUGACUCAGACCAGUAUCCAGCCAGCUACCAAAAGGGGGAGGAAAUGAGCUACCAACCCCAGCCAUCUCGAGUUGUCUCUCCUUAUUGUAUUUGUGAACUAUAGCAGCUGGGGAAAGGAGAAAGAAGAAUUUAGAGAAUUUUGGAGGAUUUAGUAGCAAAUAGGCACUUACUCUUUUGACUGUAGGAAAAAAUGUUGUCAUAUUGUAAAAUGGAAAAAAGUAAUGAGAUCACUUAUGUGUAGCAAAAUCUUUUUAUAUUUUCUACCCACAAAUAUGUGUAAAGAGAAAACAAAUUUUAAAAGGUAUAAAC